UACGGAGGGUGCGAGCGUUAUCCGGAAUUACUGGGUUUAAAGGGUGCGUAGGCGGCGUAGUAAGUCAGGAGUGAAAGUUUGCGGCUCAACCGUAAAAUUGCUUUUGAUACUGCUAUGCUAGAAUUAGGAUGAGGUCAGCGGAAUGUGGCAUGUAGCGGUGAAAUGCAUAGAUAUGCCAUAGAACACCAAUUGCGAAGGCAGCUGGCUAGACCUGGAUUGACGCUGAGGCACGAAAGCGUGGGGAGCGAACAGG
rnacentral:rRNA from 1 species